GAUGAACGCUGGCGGCGUGCCUAAUACAUGCAAGUCGAGCGAACGGACGAGAAGCUUGCUUCUCUGAUGUUAGCGGCGGACGGGUGAGUAACACGUGGAUAACCUACCUAUAAGACUGGGAUAACUUCGGGAAACCGGAGCUAAUACCGGAUGAUAUUUUGAACCGCAUGGUUCAAAAGUUAAAGACGGUCUUGCUGUCACUUAUAGAUGGAUCCGCGCUGCAUUAGCUAGUUGGUAAGGUAACGGCUUACCAAGGCAACGAUGCAUAGCCGACCUGAGAGGGUGAUCGGCCACACUGGAACUGAGACACGGUCCAGACUCCUACGGGAGGCAGCAGUAGGGAAUCUUCCGCAAUGGGCGAAAGCCUGACGGAGCAACGCCGCGUGAGUGAUGAAGGUCUUCGGAUCGUAAAACUCUGUUAUUAGGGAAGAACAUAUGUGUAAGUAACUGUGCACAUCUUGACGGUACCUAAUCAGAAAGCCACGGCUAACUACGUG
rnacentral:rRNA from 1 species